GGAGUAGUACUCAAGAGGCUGAAGAGGUGCCCCUGCUAAGGGUAUAGGUCGGUGAAAGCUGGCGCGAGAGUUCAAAUCUCUCCUACUCCGCCA
rnacentral:tRNA from 1 species